rnacentral:rRNA from 1 species
GCUCAGUAACACGUGGAUAACCUGCCCUUGGGUCCGGCAUAACCCCGGGAAACUGGGGAUAAUUCCGGAUAACGCACAUAUGCUGGAAUGCUUUAUGCGUCAAAUGGAUUCGUCCGCCCAAGGAUGGGUCUGCGGCCUAUCAGGUAGUAGUGGGUGUAAUGUACCUACUAGCCUACGACGGGUACGGGUUGUGAGAGCAAGAGCCCGGAGAUGGAUUCUGAGACAUGAAUCCAGGCCCUACGGGGCGCAGCAGGCGCGAAAACUUUACAAUGCGGGAAACCGUGGUAAGGGGACACCGAGUGCCAGCAUCAUAUGCUGGCUGUCCGGGUGUGUAAAAUACACCUGUUAGCAAGGGCCGGGCAAGACCGGUGCCAGCCGCCGCGGUAACACCGGCGGCCCGAGUGGUGAUCGUGAUUAUUGGGUCUAAAGGGUCCGUAGCCGGUUUGGUCAGCCCUCCGGGAAAUCUGACGGCUUAACCGUUAGGCUUUCGGGGGAUACUGCCAGACUUGGAACCGGGAGAGGUAAGAGGUACUACAGGGGUAGGAGUGAAAUCUUGUAAUCCCUGUGGGACCACCUGUGGCGAAGGCGUCUUACCAGAACGGGUUCGACGGUGAGGGACGAAAGCUGGGGGCACGAACCGGAUUAGAUACCCGGGUAGUCCCAGCCGUAAACGAUGCUCGCUAGGUGUCAGGCAUGGCGCGACCGUGUCUGGUGCCGCGGGGAAGCCGUGAAGCGAGCCACCUGGGAAGUACGGCCGCAAGGCUGAAACUCAA